CCUACGGGGGGCUGCAGUGAGGAAUAUUGGUCAAUGGGCUUACGCCUGAACCAGCCAAGUCGCGUGAGGGAAGACUGCCCUAUGGGUUGUAAACCUCUUUUGUCAGGGAGCAAUUGGCGCUACGUGUAGCGUUAUCGAGAGUACCUGAAGAAAAAGCAUCAGCUAACUCCGUGCCAGCAGCCGCGGUAAUACGGAGGAUGCGAGCGUUAUCCGGAUUUAUUGGGUUUAAAGGGUGCGUAGGGGGAAUGACAAGCAAGCGGUAAAAUCGCGGGGCUCAACCUCGCUCCGCCGUUGAAACUGGCGGUCUUGAGUGGGCGAGAGGUAUGCGGAAUGCGUGGUGUAGCGGUGAAAUGCAUAGAUAUCACGCAGAACUCCGAUUGCGAAGGCAGCAUACCGGAGCCCAACUGACGCUGAAGCACGAAAGCGUGGGUAUCGAACAGGAUUAGAUACCCUUGUAGUC
rnacentral:rRNA from 1 species